rnacentral:rRNA from 1 species
AGAGUUUGAUCAUGGCUCAGAACGAACGCUGGCGGCAGGCCUCAAACAUGCAAGUCUAGGGGGUGCGCAAGCAUCACCGGCGGACGGGUGCGUAACACGUGGGAAUAUACCUUUUGGUUCGGAACAACGCAGGGAAACUUGCGCUAAUACCGAAUGUGCCCUUACGGGGAAAGAUUUAUCGCCAAAGGAUUAGCCCGCGUCCGAUUAGCUAGUUGGUGAGGUAAUGGCUCACCAAGGCUCCGAUCGGUAGCUGUUCUGAGAGGAAGAUCAGCCGCACUGGGACUGAGACACGGCCCAGACUCCUACGGGAGGCAGCAGUUGGGAAUCUUGGACAAUGGGGGAAACCCUGAUCCAGCCAUGCCGCGUGAGUGAUGAAGGCCUUCGGGUUGUAAAACUCUUUCGACGGGGACGAUAAUGACGGUACCCGUAGAAGAAGCUCCGGCUAACUUCGUGCCAGCAGCCGCGGUAAUACGAAGGGGGCUAGCGUUGUUCGGAAUUACUGGGCGUAAAGCGCGCGCAGGCGGUCUUCCAAGUCAGUGGUGAAAGCCCGGAGCUCAACUCCGGAACUGCCAUUGAAACUGUAAGACUUGAGGAUGAGAGAGGUGAGUGGAAUUCCCAGUGUAGAGGUGAAAUUCGUAGAUAUUGGGAAGAACACCGGUGGCGAAGGCGGCUCACUGGCUCAUUUCUGACGCUCAGGCGCGACAGCGUGGGGAUCAAACAGGAUUAGAUACCCUAGUAGUCC